GGGCAGACACACUGAAGUCGCUAGACGUCUGAGGAACACAUCCGGGGAAGAAGACACAGGUGGCUGGUCAUCGAGAGCCCGCUGGGGGAAGAGCACACAGACAGGCACCGGCAGGCCAUUGACCAGCGGGACAAGGUGGGCUCAAUGUCAUCACAAGGGUGCUUAAGAGGGAAAGAGGAAGCCAUGAGGGUCAGAGUCAAAGGAAGACUUGAAGAUACUACACUGCGGACUUUACAGAUGAAGGAAGGGGCGAAAACCAAGAAUGUGGGAAGCCUCUAGAAGCUAGAGAAGGCAAGGAAACAAAUUUUCCACUAGAGCCUCCAGAAGGAACACAGCCCUGCUGACCCACUGUAAUGUCUGACCUCUAGAUGUGUAAGGGUAGUAAGACUGAAAGUCUCAGAAAGGCACUGUUACAUUCUUAUUCCACAACUAUGCAACUCGAAACUGGGGUCCUCAGCAGUGAGCGAGGGGUGAGAGAAGACACUGUAUAAACAUGGCACAUCCUCCUGGAAAGUCAACUUUACUCAAAGCUUUAGAAACCCAGCUCAAACUAGCUGAAGCAGAAAAGACACUACUGCGCCUAUAAGUUGAAACUUUGGAGGGAUAAAUUUCAGAGGUGUGGCUAGAUCCAAGGGCUCUCUGGAAAACUCUGUGAAAAAAAUGCUUCCUCAAGUCCAGAAACCAGAAGCUCAGGAAAUUCUUGCUUGGUUCCUCUUGUUAGAGGCAAAGAUUAUUCAACGACCUACAGGGUAGCGUUUGGCUAACAUAAUCUGCCUUCCAAUGGAGUAAGAAUGUCUGUACUCUUUCCUUCACCUACCCCCAAGACAUGGAGGCGUCUAAAAGAUAAAUAAAACUUGGCAACUGACCGAAGGAGGAAGAGGGGAUUUCAGGCAAAAUCAACGCUGUUCACUACGAGGAGAUUUCAGAAAGGUUGCCUGCUUCUGGGGAGCAUAGUCCCUGAUUCCUCAAGACAUACGUUUAUUCUUUUCUUCAAUGUAUUUGCCUGCAGUCAAAACAAAACCAUUACCUUUAGCCAAGUUCAUACAUUUCAGCCAAAUCCAUAUGCAUCGGAUCAGUUCUGUAGGUUAUGGGUGAGCAUGAACAUAUAAAAGAGGCACCUGCCUGUGCCUAUCUACUCCAUGGAGUUUGAAAAGGGGCCACUUAUGGAGAAUGUCUUUAGGGACAGAACCAACCACCCUGUCUUUCCUCCAACUCUCAAAGUAACUUCUGGCUUUAAUCCUCAUGUGUCUAUGCUGGAGUUUAAGAAAAAUGUUUUUCAUAGAAUUCAUGUGUAUGAUAUUGCAUGAGUUGUCCAUCUUUGUAUAUAUCUCAAGACUUGUGGUGUUAGUUAAAGAUUCAGAGCUCUGUGUCCUGAACACAGAGUAAUACCAGCAUUACUAAGGAUGAUCAUGGGAUUUUAAAAUUCCUCCCUUAGAUAGAUCUUACGAACUUAGGUUACCAAUCAACAUAAGUUAAGACAAAAAGAGCAAAUUUAGAUGUAAAACCAUCUUGGGGCCAGGUGCUAUGGCUCACGCCUGUAAUCCCAGCACUUUGGGAGGCCGAGGCGGGCGGAUCACGAGGUCAGGAGAUCGAGACCAUCCUGGCCAACACGGUGAAACCCUGUCUCUACUAAAAAUACAAAAAAAUUAGCCGGGCAUGGUGGCAGGCGCCUGUAGUCCCAGCUACUAGGGAGGCUGAGGCAGGAGAAUGGUGUGAACCCUGGAAGCGGAGCUUGCAGUGAGCCAAGAUCAUGCCACUGCACUGCAGCCUGGGCGACAGAGCGAGACUCCGUCUCAAAAAAAACCAAACCAACAAACAAACAAAAAAA
rnacentral:lncRNA from 1 species